UACGUAGGGGCCUAGCGUUGUUCGGAAUCAUUGGGCGUAAAGGGCGCGUAGGCGGCCUGCCAAGUCGGGUGUGAAAUCCCUCGGCUCAACCGAGGAACUGCACUCGAUACUGGCUGGCUAGAGUCCGGGAGGGGAUGGUGGAAUUCCCAGUGUAGCGGUGAAAUGCGUAGAUAUUGGGAAGAACACCGGUGGCGAAGGCGGCCAUCUGGACCGGAACUGACGCUGAGGCGCGAAAGCCAGGGGAGCGAAUGGG
rnacentral:rRNA from 1 species